GUUUGAGAUAUUUACCGCACCGCUACGCCCACGGUAAACUAGAACCGGUUGCCGCUGGACAAAUCUAAUGGCUAAUGCUGAAUAGAGCAAUAGUGAAAAGACAAUAAUGCCCCUUAGAGUACCCCCAACAAAACCCAUCAAUGAAUGGUUUUCUUGACAAAAGACAAUGGGAGAUCUUUCGACAGGUCACCCGGAAGCCACGGGAAAGCCGCUUCGUGAGCCUGGUGUCUUCUUUGCUUUAAUUGUCGCGUGCUCGCUGAAACAUUUCGGUCGAACACCUACUGGGCGUCUGUUCUGUUUCGUUCCUAGUCGGUGCUCCGCUUCGCUCUUCCAAUCGGUGGCCGCUGCCGGCGACUACCUCCCUUGCUCCUCUGGGAUUCAAGGCCCUCUCCUUGGUAAGCCAUGUCCAGUGCUCAUGCCGGUGGGGGAAGGACGCGAUCGUGGGAGGGGGUGGUUUAGGGCCGCCGCCAGCCGCAGUGGCUAACCCCCAAAAUCACGUAGGAGGAGAUUGCGGAUCUUCAAAACCUUUUUCCAGAUGUCCGGGUAUUGCCGGAAAAGGAGAUGGAGAUGGCUCGACGGAAGUGGGAGACAACGGCGAUUGUAGCCAAAAUCAUACGGCGCCGGGUUCCAAUCGAUCUGGUAGCCAAGGCAUUCAAGGAGAAAUGCAGAUUGGAGCGUGAUCAGAAAGCCCUAUAUGGCCCAUGGAUGCUAGCCACUAGAAAGCGCGAUCCUGGGGCAAGCUCCCAAGUGGGGGCGAGGAAGACGAUGAACGUGUCAACUCGCCCCGAAGUGCCAGACUCGUCCUCGGCUCGGUCCGUUCUACAGCCUCCUCCAUUGAACUCGGAGGGUCGGCGCUUAGCCACCAUCCGCUGAUCGAGUGACUACCAAAGCCAGUGUGCGCGGGAAAUAGCUUCAGGUUCCUCUCGGGAUCGGGCCAGGUUAUGGAAGGCCACCAUAGGGCUCUACCUCAGAUGUCAGUAGAACAACCUAAACGAAAGCUAAGAUAAGAAGAAACGAGUAAUCUUGCGCCACAUUGCUCUGAUUUGGCGGUUUUCUUGGUUUCUUUGGUAGAUUUCGUUAAUCGUCUCAACGUGCUGAGAGGAAAGGCAUGGCCGCCAUGAAUUCGUGGUCCUGUAAGAGGUAAUGAAGAGCUUCCAAUGACAAAUAAAAACCUCUCUUUUCUUCAUUGGUGAGUUAAUCUGAUACAUUGGAAUGGUACUAGAGGAGCUACAAGAAUGGAUUUUUGUGGCAUGACCUCUCCUAGGAUGAUCUUGUGCUCCUAGCUCACGGGAAUGAGUUUGUCCUCGAGGAUUCUGAGCUCUUGGUCAAUCCCUUUGGGUACUUCGAAAUUAAAAAAAAGGCUAGCAAAAGAUUUUUUUUUUUUUUUUGAAUUGGUUAUUGAAAUAGAAAACUAAGAAAUGUUGCAUUCUGAAGUGCUCUUCUUCCUGCAGUGCAACCUGGUAAGCUAGAACUUUUAGUGCUCUCUUUCAUACUUAAUUUUAUAUACUGCAUUUUUUUUCUGUUUGAGGCAGUUGCCUGAAGAUUCUUUGUUAAUUUGAAUCUGUGGUAGUACCAAAUACUAGGUAAUGGGUGAACUAGGUAUUUUUGUUUUGGACUAGUUGAAAGAUAAAAUGUGCUAGAUUCUUAUUAGAGUUCAGGACUCUUAUAUCUAUAAUUUUCUCUUUGGAUACUGCUUAUGGAAUUACUUUUUAUAGCUGAGCAGAUUCUUGGUUGUUAAAGUUUUAUGUAUUUGCCUUUGCUUGUUCUUUUGGAUGAAUCACCUAGAUAUUUGAAAAUCUAUUUUCCUGAAAAAAAUCAUAUAUAAAUGUGUUGCUUGUCAAAACCAAUUACCAUUUGCUUUUCUGUCAAAUGAUCAUAUAUUGCUUUGACUAACUGUGCUACUUUUGGAUUUAGACUCUGGCAACAGUGAUUCUGCAUGGUGCCGCCACAAAAGUUCCUCCCUCCCUCCUAUAUAGCAGAUGUGAAGCUAAUAUAUAAUUCAAAGUAGUUCUUUUUAUUUGCAGAAUUUUUGAAUUUCUAGUUUUCAGAUAUGGGUGCUAAUCAUGAGGAAAGAUGGAUGCCAUUUUUACUAGAAUCAGGAAGUGGUUCGGGGUUCCUUGGAUCUGAUGAUGCCAUUUUACCUUGUUGGACUAAGGGUAAAGCUGUAAAGAAUAUGCGGGUGCUGCAUUUCACCAGAUGCCAAAAGGGAUAAGGAAAAGGUUGUGGAUUUGUCAUGAUCAAAAUGCCUCCCUCAAACAAUUAGAAUGACAUCCAACAGGCAGCCCAAGAAAGAAACAAUGAGGUCACCUAUUUCAGAUGGCCCAAGGAACUCUUCAGCAGGGUCAGAGAGCCAGUCAUCUAAAUGUGGAAGCAGAAGAAUAACUGAUGCUUCUUUGGUAAAAGGUACAUCGGCGGGGCUAGAAUCGUUCGGAGAAGAAAAGGCAUAUGGUGAUUAAAUUUGAGGAAGUUCAACAGCAUCCUUUGCCUUCCUUUUAUAAUCCUUUUAUCUGUUGCCAACUUAUGCCUGUAAGUGGAGGAAUAGAGUGCAGAAAUGUUGCUAUGGGUUGGACAAAUGGGUUCAACCAGCCUUAAACCCCCAGCCAAUAGGCUGAAACAACUGCAGUCAAAAAACAUGAAUGUUUUUUAUUCUUUUUUGCCAUAACAACAGCAUUUAGGGGGAUGCUUUCUUACUUGAGAAAUCCAUUGUAAAAUUUACAUAAUCUAUGUGCUGUUCCAUUGCUUAUUGCUUUUUUUAUAAACCUUCGCUAUUGUUAAGUUCGAAUGCUACACAGCUGGUUCUUUUGC